ACGAUCCCAAUCAAAUAUUGUGACAGGCGUAAAUAAGGCGCAACAGCGAAAAACGGAAUAAAAGAACAGAAAUCAGAGUCGAAUUAAAAUUUAACGACGGUCAAAGAGCAACCGCGAAAAGUCAUUAAAAGUGUCAAAAAAAUAAUAAAACGCAGUAAAGCUCGUCUAGAACAAGAUAGACAUAAUAGAUAAUGGAGCGAGAGUCUAAAAUAUCUUAAUAUCGAACUUGGAUAAUAUUAAAACAUCUUAUUAAAAAUUUUAAUAAGACGCGUAUAAUAAAAAAUGUGGAAAUAUUUUAUUAUUUCAAAAAUAUGACAGUUUUAUAACUGUCCCGUUUUUUUUUCUAAAAAAAGGCAGAUUAAAUUACAUAAAUUUUAUAUCGAAGUGAGCGCUUGGUCGCGCUAAACUUGUUAGGUCCGGACUUUUAUUGCCAUAAAUUAUAAUUAAAUGAAUUAUAAAAAUUCUUUCAAACUCUACGAACAGUUACAUAGUAUGUAAUCUUUUUUAAAAAGGGGCGCAUAAAAUCUUAAUUUAUUAACAUUCUUUGUUUGUAUACUUAAUUUUUACAUCAGGUAGGUGGAUGUUAAUAUCCACAUUUGAGGCGCACUAAAAAGUUCGAAGUUGUCGGCCCUGAGCGCAUUUGAACUACCGCGUUUGGAUUAAUUGACGCGUGGUGGCGCUUUUGUCGAAACGUCAGUGAUGGAGAUUAGAAGUGUCGGCUUAAAUUACAUUGGGUACUCUAUUAUUGCGGCGACGGCCCUACGAAGAUGCCUGAAGCCAGCGUUACGAGUCGAAGCGAUGAAGCGUGGGCAACCGACAAUCACCGUACGAAAAUGGGAGAACGGAAAACCGGGGAAAAUAAUUACUAAGUUUUUCUAGUUUAUUUGCAACUCUUGUGUGCUGAAAUAAAGUUUGCCGUUAUUGUGGUUUA